AGUCAUGAGCAUCCACAGAGUUGUCCAAGCCAGAAAUACUGAAGUCAAUCUAACUCUUCUCUCUUCUAACAAGUUAUGAUUGAGGCAACUUGGGAUAAUCUGCUCAGCAUUCCUUGUUUCUCUCCACACAGGGUAAACAUUUGAGUCACCACGGUAAAGCAACGGGACACUGUAUCUCAUGCCAGUGAAUUGGUCCAGGGGUAAACAGCUGAAGUAAGCUGAAUUUUGGACUUGGAACCACUGGGGACAUGAGGUUCUGUUUUUUUUUUUUUUUUUUAAUGGUGGAAACAGCAAGAUGCAAGGCUAAAGCUAUUGGUGUUUCUGUAUGUUCUCUGUACGUUUCCCAUCAUACAGAGAAAACUAAUCAGUAAUGAGCUAAAAUGAUAUUGACAUGAAGAAAAGAUAGCAGAGAGAGACCCAGAAGGACUGAAAUCCCUGGUUAUUCAUAAGACUCAAGUGUCUCCCUCCUCAUCCUGAAACUUGAUUGUUCACAUGAAUGAAGUUCAGAAGGAUGAAAGCUUGGAGUGUAAGGGUCAGAGAAGGAUUACAGCUGAGACUCAAGAGAGAAGACCUGGAAAGAGGAACUGCACUUGGUUGCUGGAAUCUCAGAUCUUCAAGUUGGACAGCUGAUUUCCAACACAAUGGCCACCUCAGGAUUUACCGUGGCAAAGCUGCUUUAUAAAUUUUUGUUGAAUUAUUGAAAAGUUAUGCACGUUUUAUUCACUCAUAUAUACCCAAUGCCAAACACAUAGAAUAUGACUGGCAAAUAACUAUUGGCUGAAUGAAUAACUAACCCUAACCCAAAUUAUGACGAAUUUGGCCCUCUGCAUUCUUCCACUUGCUCUUCAGUGACUUAUUCCUUGGUUUCAACAACAUUCCCUUCCUUCCUUGUGAUAUUGUUUGAGGAGGAGCCUAGUAUGGUAGUUAUUUGCUCAGGCUCUAGAAACAGACAAACCCAUUUUCAAACAACAGAAACUCACUUCUACUACCUACUAGGUGAACAAUUAGUUUGACCUCUAGCCUCACUUUCUUUACUGGUAAAAGGAAUAAUAGUAUUACCCUGGAGAGCCGUUAUGAGGCUUAAAGCAAACACAGCAUAUGAAGCAUGUAGCCUAGUACCUGGUGAGAUACUGGUUCAAUGGUAAAGAAUCCUCCUGCCAGUGCAGGAGAUGCAAGAGAUGCAGGUUUGACCCCUGGGUCAGGAAGAUCCCCUGGAGAAGGAAAUGGCAACCCACUCCAGUAUUCUUGCCUGGUGAAUCCCUUGGACACAGAAGCCUGGCAGACUACAGUCCAUAAGGUCUCAAAGAGUCAGAUAUGAUUGAGCGCACGUGCACGACAAUGACAGACCCUGGUCAGCACUAAGUCAAGUUGAUACAUCACAUACAGUUACUUAACUGCACCCCUGUUUAAGCUGUGUAUUUCUCCAAAUAUUAAAUGACCCAAAACUACCACCCCACCACCACACACACACACACACAUGCACAAAGUGGUUUUCAACCCAUUUGCCAGUCCCUCAGAGAUUCUAAUGGGACAAAGUAGGUGAUUAAAUAGUUAAUCCCAUUUGGGUACUGUAAAACAGGAAGAGUGUGGGAGACUCCUCUAGGUUAAUAAUUACUCAAGAAAGUAUGUUUGGGCUUCUGUGGUGGCUCAGCAGUAAAGAAUACAAAGGCCAAUGCAGGAGACAUGGGUUGAAUCCCUGGUCCAGGAAGAUCCCACAUGCCUCAGAGCAACUAAGACUGUGCUUCCCAACAAGAGAAACCACAAAAAUGAGAAGACAGCACACCAUGACUAGAGAGUAGCUCCCGCUCGCUGCAACUAGGGAAAAAGCUUUCACAGCAACGGAGACCCAGCACAGCCAAAAAUAAAUAAAGAAAAUUAUUAAAGAAAAAAAAAAGA
rnacentral:lncRNA from 1 species